rnacentral:rRNA from 1 species
GAUGAACGCUGGCGGCGUGCCUAACACAUGCAAGUCGAGCGAACGGACGAGAAUCUUGCCUCUCUGAUGUUAGCGGCGGACGGGUGAGUAACACGUAGAUACCCUACCUAUAAGACUGGGGUAACUUCAGGAACCCGGAGCUAACACCGGAUAAUAUUUAGAAACGCAUGGAUCAAAAGUGCACGCGGGACUAGAUGUCACUUAUACAUGGAACCGCGCUGCAUUAGCUAGUUGGUACGGUAACGGCUUACCAAGGCAACGAUGCAUAGCCGACCUGAGAGGGUGAUCGGCCACACUGGAACUGAGACACGGUCCAGACUCCUACGGGAGGCAGCAGUAGGGAAUCUUGCGCAAUGGGCGAAAGCCUGACGCAGCAACGCCGCGUGUGUGAUGAAGGUCUUCGGAUUGUAAAGCACUGUUAGUUGGGAAGAAGAUAAGUGUAUGAAACUGUUGCUAUCUUGACGUUACCUACAGAGAAAGCAACGGCUAACUUCGUG